rnacentral:snRNA from 1 species
GGGUCUGAGAGUUUCACCCUUCA